rnacentral:tRNA from 1 species
GGAGAGAUGCGAGAGUGGUUGAAUCGGGCGGUCUCGAAAACCGCUAGGCGGGCAACUGCCUCGAGGGUUCGAAUCCCUCUCUCUCCG